AGUGAACGCUGGCGGUAGGCCUAACACAUGCAAGUCGAACGGCAGCACAGUAAGAGCUUGCUCUUACGGGUGGCGAGUGGCGGACGGGUGAGGAAUACAUCGGAAUCUACUUUUUCGUGGGGGAUAACGUAGGGAAACUUACGCUAAUACCGCAUACGACCUACGGGUGAAAGCAGGGGAUCUUCGGACCUUGCGCGAUUGAAUGAGCCGAUGUCGGAUUAGCUAGUUGGCGGGGUAAAGGCCCACCAAGGCGACGAUCCGUAGCUGGUCUGAGAGGAUGAUCGGCCACACUGGAACUGAGACAGGGUCCAGGCUCCUACGGGAGGGAGCAGUGGCGAAUAUUAGACAAUGGGCGCAAGCCUGAUCCAGCCAUACCGAGUGGGUGAAGAAGGCCUUCGGGUUGUAAAGCCCUUUUGUUGGGAAAGAAAAGCAGCAGGUUAAUACCCCGCUGUUCUGACGGUACCCAAAGAAUAAGCACCGGCUAACUUCGUG
rnacentral:rRNA from 1 species